rnacentral:rRNA from 1 species
UAGGAGGCAGCAGUGGGGAAUUUUGCGCAAUGGGGGAAACCCUGACGCAGCGACGCCGCGUGAAGGAUGAAGGCCUUCGGGUUGUAAACUUCUUUUCCAUGGGAAGAUAGUGACGGUACCAUGGGAAUAAGCCACGGCUAACUCUGUGCCAGCAGCCGCGGUAAGACAGAGGUGGCAAGCGUUGUUCGGAAUUACUGGGCUUAAAGGGCGCGUAGGCGGUAUGGCAAGUCUGAAGUGGAAUCCUGCGGCUUAACCGUAGAACUGCUUUGGAAACUGCCGUACUUGAGUCAGCGAGGGGAGGGCGGAAUUCCUGGUGUAGCAGUGAAAUGCGUAGAUAUCAGGAGGAAGGCCGGUGGCGAAGGCGGCCCUCUGGCGCUAGACUGACGCUGAGGCGCGAAAGCGUGGGGAGCAAACAAGAUUAGAUACCCCGGUAGC